CUUUUCGAUAACGACACUAAACUCGAGUUUUUAGAGCCAACUUAAUUAUAGGAACUGGAGUACGAGAUAUAACAGGAUUUUUUGUAACUGAAGCCACUGUACUAGUUAAUUUUCUAUGACAAGAGCUACUCCUAAAAUUAGUGGUAUUACCAGUAGAGCAACUUGGUCCACUAUUGGAAAUUGUAUUUCGUACAUAAGGUAUCCUAGAAGUGUCUCUAUUUCUGUUGUAAAACUUUGCCUUCACCAAAAGUCUCAGAAACUAAUGGCUGCAAUAAACUUUGGAUUGAUAUGGAUUGGAACACUGUUUGGUAUAUUACUGCAUGAGUUAUUUACUGGAAUCCUCGGUUGAUUAAAAACUGCUGGAUUAACACGAACCUUGCUUGGAACAUUUCUUGGUAUCAUCUGAUGAUUCUUUUGCAGCUGCAGCAAUAAAAUUAAACAACUGUUUCCAAGCAUAGUCUCUCUUGGCGACUCACGGGAUGAGGUUAAGUUUCGCAAGCAGAAGCAGCUGAUUCUGUCCCCGUGACGACGCAAGAUAAUUAUACUGGAUUAUCUAUCUUCUUCUUCUCCCAGCUAGCACAGGUUAACUUUUUGGACGUCCAAAACUUGACCAUUAGAAGUUAUCUUAUGGACGUACCAAAUUGUUAUCAAAGAGAUACGCUGCAGACAAAAAUUUUGAACAUCUAUUUUUUGGAUAUACAUUUGACAUCUAAUAGAUGUUCUUUAUUUCUGUCACGUCUGGCGAUAAUGUAUUAAACGAAGGAUAUAUAAACCUGUCAGUCGGUACUACAGAGAAUAACAGGACUCCAGAGAUACAGGACCAAUCGUCGGUACAGCAGAAAUCCUAUAUAACACAAGAUAUAGUAGGAUUCGACAACAUGAAACUACCACUAUCGCAAUGGCAAAUCCAAUCAGCCACGCACACAAUUACAACAGACAAGACACGUGUUAUGACUCCAGGAGGUCAUCCGAAGGAAUCAAUACCGAACUUGCAACUAGAAACAAGAAGCUGACAGCUGCCCACCUGUAGAAGGGGAGGUACAAAUUAUGAGUGUUCGGUCUCGCAAGUAGGUGACAGGCGGCGACCAUCGGAUAAGCUAUAAAUUAACUGCGGGGAGAAGGGACGCCGACGUAUUUUCGGAGCACCGCCAAAAAAGACACACCCUUCAUCCUAUCCUUUUCCAUACCUCCAUCCACCUAUAAAAACCCAUGUGUGACCACGAUGAGGAGCCUUCUGCAACCGGAGUUCACACUGACAGGGCGAAGCUCUGUCUGUCCGCCAACUGAUCUUUAUUAAAUUUCGGACUUAGUUCUCGAGACAUUCCGAGUUUCUUAGUUUCAUUUAACGUCUGACUUAGAAUAACUCUCUGUAAAAAGUCUUUUGUAAAUUUUAUCCGAGAAUAAACUGAAACUCUUUAUUAAACUUAUAAA